rfam:Hordeum vulgare subsp. vulgare, WGS project CAJW01000000 data, contig: morex_contig_2040178
AGCCAGUGAUCUUAUCAAAAUAUUUGCUACUCUUGAUGGGGCAACGACCCCAUUUCAUGAUCACAACCACCAAGAUCUCUGAGGCC